UAACACGCAUCGCUUGCAGUAUGGUUUUGGAAACAUUAAGGACCUUAUCUGUCACAUUGGCGCGUAUUUUUUGGUAAACAAAAGGUUAAAUUGAUAGACCUUUAUCGGAUUAGGGUUCCCAAAUGGCCAUAUUUCAAUGUAACAGCGCUUGUUUCCGAAAACAAACUUAAGAUAGUUCAUUAGCACAGGUAUGUAUGUAUGUAAACGGAAGACAGAAAAAUACUGUAGGCUCCAACUGUGUCAAAACAGUGUACAGAAGUGGCAGAGAAAGCACUGGGUGCAGAGGGCCUCUUUCUCUUCUCCUCCUUGGACAAAGACCAUGACCUUUUCCUCAGUUCAAACCAUCGCAGAGAAACUCACAGGGAUCACACAUCCAGUGGAUUUCGAGGAGCAAGUGACCGAUGACCCUAAUCGAGAGACCCUAACCCUGGAGUCCAAGAUGCAACCUCUGCAGCUUGACACAAUGAUGAAGAGUAGCCCCGCAAAACACUCACAUAAUUACUGGGUUUUGCCUUACCGUGAUUUAAGCUAAAGUUAUUUGUAAUCCAGCUCAAGCAUAGAUUACAUCCUACCUUGUAAACAUUUUACUGCUGUCUAUGACUGGGUUAUAAAGUAUGAAAAUACUUAUGGUGAUAAAUGACAAGAGAAUAAGGUUCAAAUAGGCAUUCCAACAGUUAGCAGAGAAAGCCUCAGAUAGUUUCACCUGUCUCUGCUUGUCUCCACCCGCCACCAGGGGUCUCCCAUCUCUCCGUGUUCUCUGUCUGUUGCCAGUUUGUUUUGUUUGUCAAGCCUACCACAGUUUUUCCCCUUGCGCCUGUCUGUUUCUAGUUCCCGUUUUUGACCAUUCUGCCUGCCCUGGAUACUGACCUCUGCCUGCCCUUGACCUGUCGUUUUGCCUGCCCUUGACCUGUCGUUUUGCCUGCCCCCUGUUCUAGUAAUAAACUUUUGCUACUUUGACACUCUGCAUCUGGGUCUUCCCUAUAACGUGAUCCAGAUUUCACAAUUAAGUCUCAGUCUCACCAGGUUACCCAUAGUUCCCUGAGUGGGCUGAGAUCCUGGCAGCAUUCUGCUGUGACCUCCACAUCCUUCUCUGCCAGCCAGUACAGGGACCUCCUGCUCCCCCCAAAAACACAGGGGAGCUGGGAUACACCUGGUUGGUCAUUCAGAGUGAGCUCAACAUAUUCACUGGGUACCUGCCAAACAAUCGCUACCACCCCUCUGCACCACAAGGAAAAAAGGUUCUCAUUCACUCCCUGCUGAGUAUGUUCCACCCACGGCCUUUCAAGUCCCGCUUCACCGCUCCGUGGCCUGCAUUCGAGCCGCCAGAGACUUCUAUCUGGACAUAGUUUUCAGGUGAGGAAACUCUGGGAUUCCUCAUCAAGCCUAGUCCAGCGAGUUCACAACUUGUUUCCAUGUUAUUACCCCUGUAACAGCUGCAGAUCCCAGCCUAUGGAAUAAAAGUUUUGAGUUCUUACCUUCUAAA